UUCAGUCAGAGUAGCCAUCUUCAAGAGCAUCAAAGAACCCACACAAAGGAAAGACCUUUUGAAUGCUUAGAGUGUGGAAAGAAAUUCAGUCAGAGUAGCAGUUUUAAAAGGCAUCAAAGAACUCACACGAAGGAGAGACCUUUUUAAUGCUUCAAAUGUGGAAAGAGAUGCAGUUAGGGUAGCCGUCUUAAAAAGCAUCAAAAAGCUCACACAAAGUAGAGAAUUAGAGUUGAACACUUCCUCACUUCGGCAGGUCGGAUGUCCUUUUUGAUUCAGACUACAGAAUUUUGAGGCAAUAACUGUGUCUCUCAUUGGAAUUCUGCUGCACAGACUGCAAUUCCCAGCUUUUCUCUCACCUUGGAGCAUUUUAUAGUGGCCUCUCUUGCACUAUCCCCCCAUUCUUUGGUUUCAUGUGCAUGCAUGUGCUUCCUCUUAAAGUAUCAACUCUCAGUUGCUUAGUGGAGGUUCUUUACAAUUUUACACCUUUGUAUUCUAUUUUAUUUUAUUCUAUUUUAUAUUCUAUAAAGUUACAAUUAUAAUAUCUUUCUUUUUGUUUCUAACCCUAACCGUAACCCGGCUUCAGGGAUGUGGGCUGGUAUUUACAGACUGCAACAUCGUGUGUUGUUUCUAAUUUUUUCCACUUUAGGUCCAUUUUGGGGUAAUACACAGAAUGUGGAAAGAAAUUCAGUCAAAGAUUGGGGACAGGAACUCAGUUUGGGUACCAUCCUUCAAUGGCAUCAAGAAUCUAUGGAGAAAUUUUUUGAACGCUCAGAAUGUGAAAAGACAUUCAGUCAGCAUUGGCUAAUUCUCUUGUUCUUUUGUUUUCUAUUUCUUUGCAGUGAUUAUUAUAAGAGUUCACUUUAUCUCGAUGGGUGCAUAGCUGGAAUGCUGUAUUCAGCUUCUAAUUCUAUUUCUGUCAUCUUUUACUUUUGCUCCUUGUUUACCAUUAGCAAUUCAUUUCUUCUGUCAUCCAUCAAUGUUUUCACAUUUUUUUGCUACAUGAAUAGCCUUUGCACAUUCUAUCUUGAUAAUAUCUCCACUUUCAACAGUUUAACAGCUUAACUGUCAAAUCUCUCAGGCUGUUUUCAAAAUAUCUCGACUGUACUAAAAAUUCAGGCUACUGCCUUUCAUUCAGAGCCUAGUAGUUCUAUGGCUAUUUUAAUUCCAUGUGCUACAUAGAUGUCUUUGAAUAAAAGAAAUCAAAGUAAAA